GAUGAACGCUGGCGGCGUGCCUAAUACAUGCAAGUCGAGCGAACAGAUGAGGAGCUUGCUCCUCUGACGUUAGCGGCGGACGGGUGAGUAACACGUGGAUAACCUACCUAUAAGACUGGGAUAACUUCGGGAAACCGGAGCUAAUACCGGAUAAUAUAUUGAACCGCAUGGUUCAAUAGUGAAAGACGGUUUUGCUGUCACUUAUAGAUGGAUCCGCGCCGCAUUAGCUAGUUGGUAAGGUAACGGCUUACCAAGGCAACGAUGCGUAGCCGACCUGAGAGGGUGAUCGGCCACACUGGAACUGAGACACGGUCCAGACUCCUACGGGAGGCAGCAGUAGGGAAUCUUCCGCAAUGGGCGAAAGCCUGACGGAGCAACGCCGCGUGAGUGAUGAAGGUCUUCGGCUCGUAAAACUCUGUUAUUAGGGAAGAACAAAUGUGUAAGUAACUAUGCACGUCUUGACGGUACCUAAUCAGAAAGCCACGGCUAACUACGU
rnacentral:rRNA from 1 species